CCUACGGGGGGCAGCAGUGAGGAAUAUUGGUCAAUGGACGAGAGUCUGAACCAGCCAAGUAGCGUGAAGGAUGACUGCCCUAUGGGUUGUAAACUUCUUUUAUAUGGGAAUAAAAUGUUCCACGUGUGGGAUUUUGUAUGUACCCUAUGAAUAAGGAUCGGCUAACUCCGUGCCAGCAGCCGCGGUAAUACGGAGGAUCCGAGCGUUAUCCGGAUUUAUUGGGGUUAAAGGGAGCGUAGGUGGAUUGUUAAGUCAGUUGUGAAAGUUUGCGGCUCAACCGUAAAAUUGCAGUUGAAACUGGCAGUCUUGAGUACAGUAGAGGUGGGCGGAAUGCGUGGUGUAGCGGUGAAAUGCUUAGAUAUCACGAAGAACUCCGAUUGCGAAGGCAGUUCACUGGACUGCAACUGACACUGAGGCUCGAAAGUGUGGGUAUCAAACAGGAUUAGAUACCCUUGUAGUC
rnacentral:rRNA from 1 species